AGGAUUCAUUCUACCAGACCCAAGGAAGAAGAAUAGCAUGAGUGAAUUGGGUUGGGAGAUGUACUUUGGAGAUGUUUAUUUCUACAUGUGUGACAUAGAUAUUGAAGGCUAUAACAUGGUUUACAAACAAGAACUUUAGACAUUAGACACACAAGGACCACAAACAAGAAAACAAGAGCACAGCAUAUUUUCAUCAGUCCACAGAAUCCUGAUAUUUCUCUAAUCUCAUCAAACACAGAGGAAUGACCACCUUAGCAGAUGGCCACAGAGGAUGUCAACUAUUUU